rnacentral:rRNA from 1 species
CAGCAGCCGCGGUAAUACAGAGGGUGCGAGCGUUAAUCGGAUUUACUGGGCGUAAAGCGUGCGUAGGCGGCUUCUUAAGUCGGAUGUGAAAUCCCUGAGCUUAACUUAAGAAUUGCAUUCGAUACUGGGAAGCUAGAGUAUGGGAGAGGAUGGUAGAAUUCCAGGUGUAGCGGUGAAAUGCGUAGAGAUCUGGAGGAAUACCGAUGGCGAAGGCAGCCAUCUGGCCUAAUACUGACGCUGAGGUACGAAAGCAUGGGGAGCAAACAGGAUUAGAUACCCCCGUAGUCCCUGUCUCUUAUAC